CUCAACUUUACAGAGAGAAAAGAGGAAGGAAGGAAAAGGGGGUGAUUCUGUCUUCUCUUCGCCCCCUCCUGCUUCUUUGCUGAAUGCUGCACGUUAUGCUCAGCUCUGAGGAUAGCAAAACAAUAAAGCUACGGUGCCUGCACCCCAGGAACUGCCAACAGAUCGGAGGCAUUCGAUAUUGAAACAAAUUAUUACACUACUGUAUGGUAUGACCUUGGGCAAAUUGCCUGACCCCUCAAAAUCUGUUCCUUCAUUUAAAGAAUGGAGAUUAUAGAAGGACCUACAACCUCUUGGGUUGACUGAAGAUUAAAUCAGAGAAUACACAUAAGCACCUAGCUCAGUCCUUGGCACCUGAUAUGAGAAAUGUCCCUGGGUUACCCUACAAGCCACAUCAAAGGCAGAGAGGUUGUACAAGUCCUAGGUCUUUGACAAAAAAUAGUAUACAUAGCAGUCCUUAGCUGUCCGCAGAAACUACCAAGAUGACCAAGCCACAUGUUUGCCAUUAGACUCCUGGAAGAUUGGCCCCCAAAAUACAUGAACACCAGUGAGCAUUCACGAAACAGAUACCUUAAAAACAAAGUCAAAUGGUGGUGCUCCAGUGUUGUGGUACAAUUAGGGGCUUUGAGAUCAGACACAUCUGAGUUUGAAUUCUCUCUCUGCUGUGCAGCUUUGUCUAAAUUAUCUAAAGCUCUCUAUCCCCCAAUUGCCUCACUAGUAAAAAAGAAGAAAUAACAUCUACCUGCCAGGGCACUGAAUUAGGAUUAAAUGGAUAUAUAUGUAAACUGUCUAAGUACAAUGUUUGCCAUAUGGUAAGUGCUUAAAAAUAAUUCCCUGAGCCCUUUAGCAUGCUGACAAGGACUAAUUUGAUACAAACUAGAAGGAGUGAUUUAAGGCAUAAGGGAUGGAAUGGAGGGACCCAAGGCUUCCUGGGGGUGAUGGCACAAACCCAUGAAGUAAGGAAAGCAGGAGACAGUUAAGAGGCUAUGCCUAUAGUCCAGACAAUGGCUCCACAAGCUUGAACUUGGAUAGCACCAGUGAGGAAGACUACUUGAGGGGGUCGUGAUAGUGUUAGGAAGUGCGAGUAUGCAGGUGACUCCCGAUAUUCGCAUCUGUGUGACAGCAAGAGCGGUGCUGCCCUUGAAGCCAUCAGGGAGGAAGCGAAGCCGAAGCGAUGACUUCAGUCAAAAAUGGUCAUUUGCAGCGGCCGUCCAGAAGCUGGCGACUGAUCUGCCUCGCCCGG